GACUUAAAAUCCGUUGGCUUUAUAGACCAUGAGGGUUCAAGUCCCUCUACCCCCA
rnacentral:tRNA from 1 species